rnacentral:rRNA from 1 species
AUUGAACGCUGGCGGCAGGCCUAACACAUGCAAGUCGAGCGGAUGAAGGGAGCUUGCUCCUGGAUUCAGCGGCGGACGGGUGAGUAAUGCCUAGGAAUCUGCCUGGUAGUGGGGGAUAACGUCCGGAAACGGGCGCUAAUACCGCAUACGUCCUGAGGGAGAAAGUGGGGGAUCUUCGGACCUCACGCUAUCAGAUGUGCCUAGGUCGGAUUAGCUAGUUGGUGGGGUAAAGGCCUACCAAGGCGACGAUCCGUAACUGGUCUGAGAGGAUGAUCAGUCACACUGGAACUGAGACACGGUCCAGACUCCUACGGGAGGCAGCAGUGGGGAAUAUUGGACAAAGGGCGAAAGCCUGAUCCAGCCAUGCCGCGUGUGUGAAGAAGGUCUUCGGAUUGUAAAGCACUUUAAGUUGGGAGGAAGGGCAGUAAGUUAAUACCUUGCUGUUUUGACGUUACCAACAGAAUAAGCACCGGCUAACUUCGUG